rnacentral:rRNA from 1 species
GGACUACCCGGGUAUCUAAUCCUGUUUGCUCCCCACGCUUUCGCGCCUCAGCGUCAGUUUCGGUCCAGAGAGCCGCCUUCGCCACCGGUGUUCUUCCCAAUAUCUACGAAUUUCACCUCUACACUGGGAAUUCCACUCUCCUCUCCCGAACUCCAGCAAUGCCGUCCCAAGCGCACCUCCCAGGUUGAGCCCGGGGCUUUCACGCCUGACAAACAUCGCCGCCUACGCGCCCUUUACGCCCAGUAAAUCCGAACAACGCUCGCCCCCUUCGUAUUACCGCGGCUGCUGGCAC